AUCCGGCUGACGAGUCCCAAAUAAGAUGAAACGCGCGUUCUCCAU
rnacentral:hammerhead_ribozyme from 1 species